rnacentral:rRNA from 1 species
AAGUCAGAUGUGAAAGCCCAGGGCUCAACCUGGGAACUGCAUUUGAAACUGGUUGACUAGAGUUUUGUAGAGGGUGGUAGAAUUUCAGGUGUAGCGGUGAAAUGCGUAGAGAUCUGAAGGAAUACCAGUGGCGAAGGCGGCCACCUGGACAAAGACUGACACUGAGGCGCGAAGGCGUGGGGAGCAAACGGGAUUAGAUACCCCGGUAGUCCACGCAGUAAACGAUGUCUAUUAGAAGUUUGUGGCUAUAUGCCGUGGGUUUCAAAGCUAACGCAUUAAAUAGACCGCCUGGGGAGUACGGCCGCAAGGUUAAAACUCAAAUGAAUUGACGGGGGCCCGCACAAGCGGUGGAGCAUGUGGUUUAAUUCGAUGCAACGCGAAGAACCUUACCAUCCCUUGACAUCCAGAGAAUCACCUAGAGAUAGAUGAGUGCCUUCGGGAACUCUGAGACAGGUGCUGCAUGGCUGUCGUCAGCUCGUGUUGUGAAAUGUUGGGUUAGGUCCCGCAACGAGCGCAACCCUUAUCCUUAGUUGCCAGCACGUAAUGGUGGGAACUCUAGGGAGACUGCCGGUGAUAAACCGGAGGAAGGUGGGGACGACGUCAAGUCAUCAUGGCCCUUACGGGAUGGGCUACACACGUGCUACAAUGGCAAAUACAAAGGGUUGCUAACCUGCGAGGGUAUGCGAAUCUCAUAAAGUUUGUCGUAGUCCGGAUCGGAGUCUGCAACUCGACUCCGUGAAGUUGGAAUCGCUAGUAAUCGUGGAUCAGAAUGCCACGGUGAAUACGUUCCCGGGCCUUGUACACACCGCCCGUCACACCAUGGGAGUGGGCUGCACCAGAAGUCAUUAGCUUAACCUUCGGGAUGGCGAUGACCACGGUGUGGUUCAUGACUGGGGUGAA